UGAUAGGCAGGCGCCAGCGGCGCGGUUAUUACUGAGGGGGAAAGAGUGCAUCGGAAGUAGUGGGCGUAAAGCGUGCGCAGGCGGUGAUGCAAGACCGGUGGGAAUUCCCCGGGCUGAACCUGGGAACUGCAUUGGUGACUGCAGCGCUGGAGUAUGGCAGAGGGGGGUAGAAUUCCACGUGUAGCAGUGAAAUGCGUAGAGAUGUGGAGGAAUACCGAUGGCGAAGGCAGCCCCCUGGGCCAAUACUGACGCUCAUGCACGAAAGCGUGGGGAGCAAACAGGAUUAGAUACCCGGGUAGUC
rnacentral:rRNA from 1 species